GAGUCGGUGGUGCAACGGUUCACCACGCCCUCCCGGAAAGAGUGAGAUCUAAGUUCAAAUCCCAGCUGACGCA